rnacentral:rRNA from 1 species
CCUGAUCCAGCCAUGCCGCGUGUGUGAAGAAGGCCUUUUGGUUGUAAAGCACUUUAAGCGAGGAGGAGGCUACUUGGAUUAAUACUCUAGGAUAGUGGACGUUACUCGCAGAAUAAGCACCGGCUAACUCUGUGCCAGCAGCCGCGGUAAUACAGAGGGUGCGAGCGUUAAUCGGAUUUACUGGGCGUAAAGCGUGCGUAGGCGGCUUCUUAAGUCGGAUGUGAAAUCCCUGAGCUUAACUUAGGAAUUGCAUUCGAUACUGGGAAGCUAGAGUAUGGGAGAGGAUGGUAGAAUUCCAGGUGUAGCGGUGAAAUGCGUAGAGAUCUGGAGGAAUACCGAUGGCGAAGGCAGCCAUCUGGCCUAAUACUGACGCUGAGGUACGAAAGCAUGGGGAGCAAACAGGAUUAGAUACCCUGGUAGUCCAUGCCGUAAACGAUGUCUACUAGCCGUUGGGGCCUUUGAGGCUUUAGUGGCGCAGCUAACGCGAUAAGUAGACCGCCUGGGGA